rnacentral:rRNA from 1 species
GGACCCACCUGAUUCCAUCCCGAACUCAGAAGUGAAACGAAACAGCGUCGAUGGUAGUGUGGGGUUUCCCCAUGUGAGAGUAGAACAUCGCCAGGC